CAGUAGCCGCGGGAAUACGUAGGUGGCAAGCGUUGUCCGGAAUUAUUGGGCGUAAAGGGCUCGCAGGCGGUUUCUUAAGUCUGAUGUGAAAGCCCCCGGCUCAACCGGGGAAGGUCAUUGGAAACUGGGAAACUUGAGUGCAGAAGAGGAGAGUGGAAUUCCACGUGUAGCGGUGAAAUGCGUAGAGAUGUGGAGGAACACCAGUGGCGAAGGCGACUCUCUGGUCUGUAACUGACGCUGAGGAGCGAAAGCGUGGGGAGCGAACAGGAUUAGAUACCCCUGUAGUCCCUGUCUCUUAUAC
rnacentral:rRNA from 1 species